rnacentral:rRNA from 1 species
CUAGCAUAUCAAUAAGCGGAGGAAAAGAAACCAACAGGGAUUGCUCUAGUAACGGCGAGUGAAGCAGCAAUAGCUCAAAUUUGAAAUCUGGCGUCUUCGGCGUCCGAGUUGUAAUUUGUAGAGGAUGCUUCUGGGCAGCCAACCGACCUAAGUUCCUUGGAACAGGACGUCAUAGAGGGUGAGAAUCCCGUAUGCGGUCGGAAGGGCACCCUACACGUAGCUCCUUCGACGAGUCGAGUUGUUUGGGAAUGCAGCUCUAAAUGGGAGGUAAAUUUCUUCUAAAGCUAAAUAUUGGCCAGAGACCGAUAGCGCACAAGUAGAGUGAUCGAAAGAUGAAAAGCACUUUGGAAAGAGAGUUAAAAAGCACGUGAAAUUGUUGAAAGGGAAGGGAUUGCAACCAGACUUGCUCGCGGUGUUCCACCGGUCUUCUGACCGGUCUACUCGCCGCGUUGCAGGCCAGCAUCGUCUGGUGCCGCUGGAUAAGACUGGAGGAAUGUAGCUCCCUCGGGAGUGUUAUAGCCUCUAGUGAUGCAGCGAGCGCCGGGCGAGGUCCGCGCUUCGGCUAGGAUGCUGGCGUAAUGGUCGUAAUCCGCCCGUCUUGAAACACGGACCAAGGAGUCUAACAUCUAUGCGAGUGUUCGGGUGUCAAACCCCUACGCGUAAUGAAAGUGAACGGAGGUGAGAACCCGCAAGGGUGCAUCAUCGACCGAUCCUGAUGUCUUCGGAUGGAUUUGAGUAUGAGCAUAGCUGUUGGGACCCGAAAGAUGGUGAACUAUGCCUGAAUAGGGUGAAGCCAGAGGAAACUCUGGUGGAGGCUCGCAGCGGUUCUGACGUGCAAAUCGAUCGUCAAAUUUGGGUAUAGGGGCGAAAGACUAAUCGAACCAUCUAGUAGCUGGUUC